rnacentral:rRNA from 1 species
GAUGAACGCUAGCGAUAGGCCUAACACAUGCAAGUCGAGGGGCAUCACAUGAAGUAGCAAUACGGAUGGUGGCGACCGGCGCACGGGUGAGUAACACGUAUGCAACCUGCCUUCAACAAGGGGAUAACCCGUUGAAAGACGGACUAAUACCCUAUAACACAGGGGUCCCGCAUGGGAAUAUUUGUUAAAGGACAACCGGUUGAAGAUGGGCAUGCGUUCCAUUAGCUAGUUGGCGGGGUAACGGCCCACCAAGGCAACGAUGGAUAGGGGGAACUGAGAGGUUUAUCCCCCACACUGGUACUGAGACACGGACCAGACUCCUACGGGAGGCAGCAGUGAGGAAUAUUGGUCAAUGGACGCAAGUCUGAACCAGCCACGUCGCGUGAAGGAAGACGGCCCUACGGGUUGUAAACUUCUUUUAACGGGAAUAAAGUGCCCCACGCGUGGGGUUUUGCAUGUACCGUAUGAAUAAGGAUCGGCUAACUCCGUG